rnacentral:lncRNA from 10 species
AACUGUUUAAGGGAGUAUCUUGAACCUUUGGAAAUGAACUUAAAAGGUGUUGCAUCCUGACACAAACAUUGCCAAAAAAAAAAGUUUAAGAUUAUGACAAAUGCAUGAUUAUUCAUCUACCAGUUUACUAGUAGUAAUCCAGUUUGGCCCAAGUAAAUUAAGUCUCAGUGCUGAGUUAGAACCCCAGCUAUAAGCUCUUUCACCAUUCUCUGAAUCACUUCAGUUUUUUGUUUUUGUUUUUGUUUGAGUCAGAGUCUCG